AUUGAACGCUGGCGGCAGGCCUAACACAUGCAAGUCGAGCGGUAGAGAGAAGCUUGCUUCUCUUGAGAGCGGCGGACGGGUGGGUAAUGCCUAGGAAUCUGCCUGGUAGUGGGGGAUAACGUUCGGAAACGGACGCUAAUACCGCAUACGUCCUACGGGAGAAAGCAGGGGACCUUCGGUCCUUGCGCUAUCAGAUGAGCCUAGGUCGGAUUAGCUAGUUGGUGGGGUAAUGGCUCACCAAGGCGACGAUCCGUAACUGGUCUGAGAGGAUGAUCAGUCACACUGGAACUGAGACACGGUCCAGACUCCUACGGGAGGCAGCAGUGGGGAAUAUUGGACAAUGGGCGAAAGCCUGAUCCAGCCAUGCCGCGUGUGUGAAGAAGGUCUUCGGAUUGUAAAGCACUUUUAGUUGGGAGGAAGGGCAGUAAAUUAAUACUUUGCUGUUUUGACGUUACCGACAGAAUAAGCACCGGCUAACUCUGUG
rnacentral:rRNA from 1 species